rnacentral:rRNA from 1 species
GACGAACGCUGGCGGCGUGCUUAACACAUGCAAGUCGAACGAUGAAGCGGGUGCUUGCACUCGUGGAUUAGUGGCGAGCGGGCGAGUAACACGUGAGUAACCUGUCCUUUUCUUUGGGAUAACGGCUGGAAACGGCUGCUAAUACUGGAUAUUCAGGCUGCAUCGCAUGGUGUGGUUUGGAAAGGUUUUUUCUGGGAUUGGGUGGGCUCGCGGCCUAUCAGCUUGUUGGUGGGGUGAUGGCUUACCAAGGCUUUGACGGGUAGCCGGCCUGAGAGGGUGGUCGGUCGCACUGGGACUGAGAUGCGGCCCAGACUCCUCCGGGGGGCAGCAGUGGGGAAUAUUGCACAAUGGACGAAAGUUUGAUGCAGCGACGCCGCGUGGAGGGUGUAGGCCUUCGGGUUGUGAACUCCUUUUUCUCGCGAAAAAGGCACAGUUUUGGCUGUGUUGAUGGUAGUGGGGGAAGAAGCGCCGGCUAACUACGUG